rnacentral:rRNA from 1 species
GCCGGUCCGCCUCAACGCGACGUACAGGUCCGGCCGGGCCUUUCCUUCUGAGGACCGCAUGCCCCUCAAUGGGUGUGUCGGAGAACCUCGGACUUUUACUUUGAAAAAAUUAGAGUGUUCUUAGCAGGCAUUUGCUCGAAUACCUUAGCGUGGGAUAAUAGAAUAGGACGUGCGGCUCUAUCUUGUUGGUCUCUAGGACCGCCGUAAUGAUUAAGAGGGAAGUCGGGGGCAUUAGUAUUCAAUAGUCAGAGGUGAAAUUCUUGAUUUAUUGAAGACUACUACUGCGAAGCAUUUGCCAGGAUGUUUUCAUUAAUCAGGACGAAAUUAGGGCAUCGAAAC